rnacentral:rRNA from 1 species
AUACAUGCAGUCGAGCGGACAGAUGGGAGCUUGCUCCCUGUAUGUUAGCGGCGGACGGGUGAGUAACACGUGGGUAACCUGCCUGUAAGACUGGGAUAACUCCGGGAAACCGGGGCUAAUACCGGAUGCUUGAUUGAACCGCAUGGUUCAAUUAUAAAAGGUGGCUUUUAGCUACCACUUACAGAUGGACCCGCGGCGCAUUAGCUAGUUGGUGAGGUAACGGCUCACCAAGGCAACGAUGCGUAGCCGACCUGAGAGGGUGAUCGGCCACACUGGGACUGAGACACGGCCCAGACUCCUACGGGAGGCAGCAGUAGGGAAUCUUCCGCAAUGGACGAAAGUCUGACGGAGCAACGCCGCGUGAGUGAUGAAGGUUUUCGGAUCGUAAAACUCUGUUGUUAGGGAAGAACAAGUACCGUUCGAAUAGGGCGGUACCUUGACGGUACCUAACCAGAAAGCCACGGCUAACUACGUGCCAGCAGCCGCGGUAAUACGUAGGUGGCAAGCGUUGUCCGGAAUUAUUGGGCGUAAAGCGCGCGCAGGCGGUUUCUUAAGUCUGAUGUGAAAGCCCCCGGCUCAACCGGGGAGGGUCAUUGGAAACUGGGGAACUUGAGUGCAGAAGAGGAGAGU